UUAGAUAACUAGGCAACAGCUAGGUUAAUAGUUAAAUAGCCUGAUGAAAGAAGUAUGUGUAUCGGAAUCAAAUAGGAAUAACAGUUGCAAAACAAAUCCCUUUUCAGGACCAGGAAUUUACCAAGUAAAUUAUUAUUAUACGUUUCUUCGAUGAUGAUAUCGAGGUUAUGUGGAUACCGAAUUAUCUUAAUCUUCUAACCAAAAUAUUUUCUGCAUCUAACCUCACUAACGUUAUACCAAAGAAUAAUAAUAUUACUAUAAUGUGCGAGCUAUGGAAAUUUCUUUUCAGGAGAAGUCUUGGAAAAUCAGAAUAAAAAAUUACAUAGAAACAAACAUAAAUGCUGUUGCUGCAAAAGUACUCUUAAGCAAAUCUUUAUAACGGUUAUAAACAACGAAACACGAUCUAAGUACAUAAAAGUUAUCGACGCUAAGAAAAGAGAGCCAUGAAUCUAAAGUACACAAACGAAGUAAAAAUAUGACUGAAUACCGGUGAUCUUGAUUAAAUUUGUCAAAAUUUUAAUCUUCAAUAAUCUCGAUAUUCUAAUUCUAAAUUUUCAAAAUUACCAUCUCCCAACAUUUUCAUUUUUCAAAGAUCUCUGUAACCUUUAAAUCAAUGGAACACGGUAUAUUUCGAUGUUUAGACGGUUUUAUUGCAAAAUGACAGAUUGUAUAUCAAAAUGAGUCAUGGAUCAAAAUCAAGAUCAAGCUGAUGUGAGCGUAAAUGUUUUUCUUGAACGAAUUGAAUGUAAGUCUUGAAUGUAAAGCCAGUAACGUUAAACACAGUAGCAUUUAGAAAAGGAUAGUAAAUGUAUAUCCUGCUGCUACUGUGAAAAGCUGAGAUCAGCAAAUUCGAAGAUAAGAAAUAAACCACAUGGCUGGUCAAGAAACGUUAUGAGUAACAUUCCAAUAAAAAUCUGCCAUCGAGUCUGAGUGCAACACCUCAAAGUACGCGACGCAUAAAUUAAGUGUGUGUUAUGCAACAGUUUCUCGUCACCUAUACGCUAUACGAAAAUACUAAUAGCUUGAACUAAAAAAUAUAUACCGUCUGAUAAUUAUAAAUCUACAAGUUCUUAUCGAAGAUCUUCUUAAAAUGAAAUUUUCAUUCUAAAACAUCACCCAAAAAUCUCGAAAUUUGUCUUUUAAUUAAACAAACCUAGAGGUUCCUACGUAGGACCUCAGGAAAAAAUUUUUUUUAAUUCGUCAAUGGAAAUAAACGUUGUUAUUUACAAUAAGAACAGAAAUUCUCGGAUCAGACGAGGAAGUACGAGUCGCCUGGCCCAGAAACGAGACCAGAGGUCGGUGAUACGUGGAUCGCUGGUCAAAGAUCUCUGCUCAUGUGGCGCGCCACGAGGAAACGACUACCGCAACGCUUGUCCGGCCUCGUUGGAUCGUUUAGCGUCGUUCACGAGCGAGCCUUAAUCACGGUGACCUCGUGCCACUGUUUACGAUCCGCGAGUCGUCACAGUGCCGAUUCGACGUCAUCAAUUUUACCUUUCGUCGCAGCACAACUCCGCAAACUCAUUUUUUAUUAGUCUCGUGCAACCUAGUGAUUAGAAUUUACUUGCCAAUAGUGCAGAUAAAAUAAAACUUGUUAAACUAAAAAAUUCAAUUAUUA
rnacentral:lncRNA from 1 species